GGUAAGCGGGGCGCGCCGGGGCUGCGCCGCUGCCCCCUCCCGCGGCUCCUGGCCGGCCGCGGCCGCUUCAGCCUCUGCGCAGGGCGGCCGGGGGCAGGAUCCCGUGCCAACCCCCGAGCCAGCUGGGACAAAGCUGACCCUGCCUCGCCUCCAGACUAUCAUCUCUACUAAUACAUAAAAUAAUAACAAAGUAAUUCUUCAACUGGUGGAGCAACAGAAGCAACGUUUCCACAUGCAUACGUCUUAC
rnacentral:lncRNA from 1 species